rnacentral:rRNA from 1 species
AUUGAACGCCGGCGGCAUGCCUUACACAUGCAAGUCGAACGCGAAAGUAGGGGCAACCCUGCGAGUAGAGUGGCGAACGGGUGAGUAAUGCAUCGGAACAUUUCCAGUAGCGGGGGAUAACCUCGAGAAAUCGAGGCUAAUACCGCAUACGUCCUACGGGAGAAAGCGGGGGACCGCAAGGCCUCGCACUAUUGGAGUGGCCGAUGCCGGAUUAGCUAGUUGGCGGGGUAAAAGCCCACCAAGGCGACGAUCCGUAGCUGGUCUGAGAGGAUGAUCAGCCACACUGGGACUGAGACACGGCCCAGACUCCUACGGGAGGCAGCAGUGGGGAAUUUUGGACAAUGGGCGCAAGCCUGAUCCAGCCAUGCCGCGUGAGUGAAGAAGGCCUUCGGGUUGUAAAGCUCUUUCGGCCGGGACGAAAUCGCACCCUUUAAUACGGGGUGUGGAUGACGGUACCGGAAGAAGAAGGACCGGCUAACUACGUGCCAGCAGCCGCAGUAA